rnacentral:rRNA from 1 species
GUGGCGCACGGGUGCGUAACGCGUAUGCAACCUACCUCAAUCAGGGGGUAGCCCGAAGAAAUUCGGAUUAACACCGCAUAAAAUCCAGGAUAGCAUUAUUAAUGAUCAAAUAUUUAUAGGUUGAGAUGGGCAUGCGUGUCAUUAGUAGUUGCGAGGUACGGCUCACCAGACCACGAUGACUAGGGGUCUGAGAGGAUGACCCCCCACACUGGUACUAGACAGGCCAGACUCCUACGGGAGGCAGCAGUAAGAAUAUUGGUCAAUGGAGGCAACCUGACCAGCCAUGCCGCGUGCAGGAAGACAGCCCUCUGGGUCGUAAACUGCUUUUAUUCGGGAAUAAACCUACUUACGUGUAAGUAGCUGAAUGUACCGAAGGAAUAAGGAUCGGCUAACUCCGUGCCAGCAGCCGCGGUAAUACGGAGGAUCCAAGCGUUAUCCGGAUUUAUUGGGUUUAAAGGGUGCGUAGGCGGCUUAUUAAGUCAGGGGUGAAAGACGGGGGCUCAACCAUCGCAGUGCCCUUGAUACUGAUGAGCUUGAAUACACUAGAGGUAGGCGGAAUGUGACAAGUAGCGGUGAAAUGCAUAGAUAUGUCACAGAACACCGAUUGCGAAGGCAGCUUACUAUGGUGUUAUUGACGCUGAGGCACGAAAGCGUGGGGAUCAAACAGGAUUAGAUACCCUGGUAGUCCACGCCCUAAACGAUGAAUACUCGCUGUUAGCGAUACACAGUUAGCGGCUAAGCGAAAGCGUUAAGUAUUCCACCUGGGGAGUACGGUCGCAAGAUUGAAACUCAAAUGAAUUGACGGGGGCCCGCACAAGCGGAGGAGCAUGUGGUUUAAUUCGAUGAUACGCGAGGAACCUUACCCGGGCUUGAAAGUUAGUGAAUCAUUUAGAGAUAGAUGAGUGAGCAAUCACACGAAACUAGGUGCUGCAUGGCUGUCGUCAGCUCGUGCCGUGAGGUGUUGGGUUAAGUCCCGCAACGAGCGCAACCCCUAUGUUUAGUUGCCAGCACGUUAAGGUGGGGACUCUAAACAGACUGCCUGUGCAAACAGAGAGGAAGGAGGGGACGACGUCAAGUCAUCAUGGCCCUUACGUCCGGGGCUACACACGUGCUACAAUGGAUGGUACAGAGGGCAGCAAGCUGGCAACAGCAAGCAAAUCUCAAAAAGCCAUUCACAGUUCGGAUAGAGGUCUGCAACUCGACCUCUUGAAGUUGGAUUCGCUAGUAAUCGCGUAUCAGCAAUGACGCGGUGAAUACGUUCCCGGGCCUUGUACACACCGCCCGUCAAGCCAUGGAAGUUGGGGGUACCUAAAGUAUGUAACCGCAAGGAGCGUCCUAGGGUAAAACCGAUAACUGGGGCUAAGUCGUAACAAGGUAACCG